rnacentral:rRNA from 1 species
AAUGGGUCAGCGACUUAUAUUCUGUAGCAAGGUUAACCGAAUAGGGGAGCCGAAGGGAAACCGAGUCUUAACUGGGCGUUAAGUUGCAGGGUAUAGACCCGAAACCCGGUGAUCUAGCCAUGGGCAGGUUGAAGGUUGGGUAACACUAACUGGAGGACCGAACCGACUAAUGUUGAAAAAUUAGCGGAUGACUUGUGGCUGGGGGUGAAAGGCCAAUCAAACCGGGAGAUAGCUGGUUCUCCCCGAAAGCUAUUUAGGUAGCGCCUCGUGAAUUCAUCUCCGGGGGUAGAGCACUGUUUCGGCAAGGGGGUCAUCCCGACUUACCAACCCGAUGCAAACUGCGAAUACCGGAGAAUGUUAUCACGGGAGACACACGGCGGGUGCUAACGUCCGUCGUGAAGAGGGAAACAACCCAGACCGCCAGCUAAGGUCCCAAAGUCAUGGUUAAGUGGGAAACGAUGUGGGAAGGCCCAGACAGCCAGGAUGUUGGCUUAGAAGCAGCCAUCAUUUAAAGAAAGCGUAAUAGCUCACUGGUCGAGUCGGCCUGCGCGGAAGAUGUAACGGGGCUAAACCAUGCACCGAAGCUGCGGCAGCGACACUGUGUGUUGUUGGGUAGGGGAGCGUUCUGUAAGCCUGUGAAGGUGUGCUGUGAGGCAUGCUGGAGGUAUCAGAAGUGCGAAUGCUGACAUAAGUAACGAUAAAGCGGGUGAAAAGCCCGCUCGCCGGAAGACCAAGGGUUCCUGUCCAACGUUAAUCGGGGCAGGGUGAGUCGACCCCUAAGGCGAGGCCGAAAGGCGUAGUCGAUGGGAAACAGGUUAAUAUUCCUGUACUUGGUGUUAC